GGCAAUGAUACAAGAUCUCAGCAAUCUCACUUUCAGCUACACACUUUCGAAUUAUAUUAUCUGCUCAUUGUUUAAACAAAAACAGAUCCUCCCAAAAAUAAUACCGACUAUCAUGAAGGAAUUUUUUCCUUUGUUGGCAUGUCAUUUCUUGAGGAAUUAUUCCACAUGCAAGAUAAUUGGCAAAAUCAGCAAACCAAGGUGUUUCAUGAAUUCGAUUUACCUCAA
rnacentral:lncRNA from 1 species